GGUCUUGUAGUGUAGUUGGUUAUCACAUCGGAUUCUGAUCUUCAGUUCAGAAUUCACACUUUCCGGUAACCCCGGUUCGAAUCCGGGCAGGACCU